rnacentral:rRNA from 1 species
UACGUAGGUGGCGAGCGUUGUCCGGAUUUACUGGGCGUAAAGGGCGUGCAGGCGGUUUGUUAAGUGCAGAGUGAAAGCUCCCGGCUCAACUGGGAGAGGUCUUUGCAUACUGGCAAACUCGAGGGAGGCAGAGGAAAGUGGAAUUCCCGGUGUAGUGGUGAUAUGCGUAGAUAUCGGGAGGAACACCUGUGGCGAAGGCGGCUUUCUGGGCCUUACCUGACGCUGAGACGCGAAAGCGUGGGGAGCAAACAGG